rnacentral:rRNA from 1 species
AGUUGCUAGUAAUCGCGAAUCAGCAUGUCGCGGUGAAUACGUUCCCGGGCCUUGUACACACCGCCCGUCACACCAUGAGAGUUGGUAACACCCGAAGUCCGUGAGGUAACCGUAAGGAGCCAGCGGCCGAAGGUGGGAUCGAUGAUUGGGGUGAAGUCGUAACAAGGUAGCCGUAGGAGAACCUGCGGCUGGAUCACCUCCUUUCUAGGGAG